UUAUGGAGAACUCGUGAACUGAGCGUUCACGUAGUUAUAAGACGUUUCUGAUGUUUUGUUCAGUUUUGAAGGAGCUAUCCUUCAAACGAUGUUCUUUGAAAACUAGAUAACAAAUACUGUGCUAUAUGUAAUGCAACAAAGUGUAAACUUUUUAAUGAUUAAGUUAGAAAGGGCGCACGGUGGAUACCUAGGCACACAGAGA
rnacentral:misc_RNA from 1 species